GUAUAAGGUGCCAAAGUUUUCAAAGAAAUUAACACGAAGGUGUGUUUCAGUAUCUCCAUAUAUAUAGCAAGAGACUUCCAAGGGAAUUUCACUAAGUAUUCCAUAUUCAGGACUUACUGACGCACCAUCCUACAGGAUAAUGUCACUGGGAAAAACCAAUGUCGCAAUUCUGUUAGUUGUCUUUAUGAGUGCAAUCCAGUUGUCUUACCAGCAGUAUCCCUUAAUGAGUACACUCGUCAGAAGAAACGUCCCCCCAGGAGCUACAAUCCACCUGUUCAUGGAGACGUGCGAGGCGUGUGGAGAGAUGUUUGGCUCCAGUGUAACCUAUAAAUGCCUUACCGAUAGGAAAUCUUUCUACACCUAUUUCAACUGCCGGAAAGCUAUAUCAUAAAUAUACAAAUUAACUAGAUUAUUUGACAUUUUUAACAGUCACUGUUCUAAACAUGAGGAUGGGAAAAGGUUCAUAAACAUCCGCUGAUGUUUUUUCUGUUUUUUGAAUUUAAAAUAAAACCGGCAAACAAUCGGUAUACUGUGUUGUUCU